UCCUUUCUUUCUUAAGCUCAUCUCCGUCAGUAUAAAAUAACCUGCCAUGCAACGGAUAGUUAAAACAUGUGGACACUUGAACAAAUAAUGUGUCAUAUCUACUUUAUGAACUAAUUGAACACAUGCUCAUGCUAAACAUUAUUAAGGAUAAAAUAUGAAACAGAGAAAUUACCAUUCAGAUUAUAGUAUUAAAGCAACUUAUUGUUCUGCUAGAAGACAAAACGCCCAAUUUGCAGUGUAAUAUAUUUAUAAGCAUGAUUGCUUUCAGCUUAACUAACAAAGUUUUUUGGCAUUUUACUAUGUUGCAGUGCUUAGUGCAGUUACGGGAAUCAAGCAAUCAGCAAAGUCGUUAACUCAAGGUAUACCGAUCAUUAGGAUGCAUCCCUCUGUUUAGCAGCGAAAGAUACGUCCAUGUCACUAUCUUAGGGUGCCAGUUUUAUUUGACUCUUUUGAUCUCAUCAACAGGACAAAUUGCUGGCAUCGCAAUCGGCAUUCUGAUCGCCCUCUUUCUUGUCCAGCGCUUUGGCACAGACAAAGUUGGUUACACAUUUGGCCCAGUAAUCUUUAUAUGGUUCAUCUUAAUUGCCGGCAUUGGAAUUUAUAAUUUGAUCAAACAUGAUACUGGAAUUCUGAAAGCAUUCAACCCACAAUACAUAGUGGAAUAUUUCCAAAGAAAUGGGAAGGACGGCUGGAUUUCGCUUGGAGGUGUUAUCUUAUGCAUUACAGGUAUUUUCAUGUCAUGAGUUCAAUACAGAACUUUGCAAUUGAUCACCCUAAGAUGUCAACUAAUAGAAUAGGCCCACAAGAUGCUGCAUUGAUCUUGAAAAAAGAAUAAAUGUUCCUUAUUUAUUCAAAAGUCUUGAAAAUGGAUAUUGUGUCUUUUGUGGAAUAGGAACCGAAGCAAUGUUUGCUGACCUUGGUCACUUCAAUGUGAGAGCAAUUCAGGUAAUCAAGCAACUCAUCUGAAUAAUUAGCCUUUUCAUUAUUUUGAUUUUGAGUGCGUGCACAGAAAGGGUGGCUGGAGAGGGAAUAAACCCUGUGCAGUCAUGCUUAUGGAAAAUAAAUCCUUUUGAGUUAUAUAAAACAGUAUUAUGAAAAAAUACUUUCCUCGAUCAAUGAAUUUGUAAUUAAUUUUAUUCAUGCUUUUCCAUUUACUCCACUUAGACAAUUAAUAUAAAUUUUAUUGCAAUGCAGAUUGGCUUUUCUGCAGUUCUGCUCCCAUCAGUAUUGCUUGCUUACAUGGGACAGGCUGCAUAUCUUCGCAUCCACCCUGAAGAUGUUGCAGAUACAUUCUACAAAUCAAUCCCAGGUGAGAUCAUAAGAGGAUCAGCUAAGAAAUGGAAUGAAUUAGGCACUUAAAGAUUAAUAUUUAACAACAAACUCAUUUAUUUUGUCACAGGUCCAUUAUAUUGGCCAACAUUUGUGGUGGCCGUGGCUGCUGCUAUAAUUGCAAGCCAAGCUAUGAUUUCUGGUGCCUUUGCAAUCAUUGCUCAGUCCCAAGUUCUUGGUUGCUUUCCACGGGUUCGUGUCACUCACACCUCAAAAAAGUAUCAUGGGCAGGUCUACAUCCCUGAGAUCAACUAUGCAUUAAUGAUCUUAUGUGUAGCUGUGACAGCUAUUUUCCAAACUACAGACAAGAUUGGCAAUGCAUAUGGUAAGAAAAAUCCUCAACUCUAUAUAAAGAAAGUUGUAAAUUAUUCAUUACCUGAAGAUAAUUUCUGCUAUAAGAUUGAGAUAUCUCAUGCUUCUAUUAUUCCCUUACACAACUGUUUCAUGCAACUUCUCUUAAACAGUCUUCACCUCAAAUUUCAAUAUAAACAUAGAUGCACUGAAGUUGCUCAUAACAUCAUGUGUUCCCUCAUCUAUUUGCCCAGAUUGUCGGCAAGUAGUCCGUUACUCGCUAAUAUGCUAUAUUGCCAUUGCUGCUUAAGCUGCCAAAUCCAGAAAGAGUGAAAUCAUCAUAUGAUAAUUAUGGAAUUCAGCAAGAAUAUAAAAGUUUGUAUGUAAGAUGUGAUAAUGUCUGCAUAGCAUGAUCAAUUAAUGAAAAUAUAACAGAUUGGUACAUUCUUCCAAAUUCCAAUGGCAUCAUGACCUGCCAACUUAUUCUUAUAAAAUCAAAGAAGUAACAACUAACAAGUAUUAUCCACAUUCGAAAUUCACUUUGUUACUUUCAGUAAUAAUGUAUCAGUUUUAUGAUAAUAAUUUAAUCAUCAUAUAUGCAGGUAUCGCUGUCGUCUUUGUGAUGUUCAUAACAACACUUCUAGUCACACUGGUAAUGGCCAUGAUAUGGAAGACAAGUCUGCUGUGGAUUGCACUCUUUCCAAUAAUAUUUGGCGGCGCAGAGCUCGUGUACUUAUCCUCAGCAUUCUACAAAUUUGUAGAAGGUGGCUACUUGCCACUAGGUUUUGCAGCAAUUUUGAUGCUUAUAAUGGGCACAUGGCACUAUGUUCAUGUUCAUCGGUACAAAUACGAGCUCAAGAACAAAGUGUCAAACAACUAUGUGGCAGAUUUGGCAACAAGGAGAAAUCUUGCUAGGUUGCCAGGAAUAGGCGUUCUGUACUCUGAGCUUGUGCAAGGAAUCCCACCCAUACUGCCCCAUUUGGUAGAAAAAGUACCUUCCAUCCAUUCAGUUCUUGUGAUUACCUCAAUAAAGUACUUACCAAUCAGCAAUAUAGAAACAAAUGAGCGGUUCCUCUUCCGAUACGUGGAGCCAAGAGAAUACAGGGUAUUCCGAUGUGUGGUGCGCUAUGGUUACAACAAUAAAGUAGAAGAUCCAAGAGAGUUCGAGAACUUGCUUAUUGGGAACUUGAAGCAAUUCAUCCAUCAAGAAUCACUCUACAGCGAAAGUAGUCAUUCCCUUGAAGGAGAAGAUAAUGCAUUCGAAGAAUCAGGAGAUGCAAUGGAGCCUUCUAUUGAAGUUCAAGAUGCAAGGUUGCCGAAAAGGUUUUUAGAUGGAAUCACUGCUAGCCCAGUGAACGGGUUAAUGGAUGAGAUAGAGUUUAUUCAGAGAGGGAUGGAUGAUGGUGUUGUCCAUCUGCUGGGAGAAACUAAUGUGGUGGCGGAGCAAAAUGCCGGUUUGGUGAAGAAAAUAAUAGUUGACUACGCCUACAAUUUCAUGAGGAAGAACUUCAGGCAACCAGAGAAGAUCACAUGUGUCCCUCAUAACAGGCUGCUGCGGGUGGGAAUGACAUACGAGAUCUAGAGAGAUGCUCAGUGGAUUGAUCAAAUUGACAAUAGCUUCAGUUUUCUCAGUACCAAGUGCAGAAAGGAUAUGCAGAGGAACAGCCUCCUUGACUGAACAGCAGAGGAUGGAGAGAUUUUAUGCGUACAAGUGGUGAAACUACAGUACAUGCAAUAUGUAUUUACCAUAUAAUAUUUUUUUUGUUAGGGAAAUUCUACUGUAUAAGUGUUUGUUAGCAGUAAGUAUGCAUAGCUGUCAAACCCCUAGUUUGGCCAACUCUUUGCCUUAUUGUGGAAAACUCAAAAUCUUAGUAUGUGCAGUUGUACACAAAGAUUGUAACCUACCGGCAAAAGUUAAACAAAUAAUAAAGUAUGACUUGUGUGCAUUCAUCUCGAAUUGUUUAUUAACAUGUUACGAAUUGUAUGUGGCCCAGCACUUGGCACAUCGAACGCCUCUAUUUCUGAUGCAAGGCAGCAGAUUUGCCAAACAUGACAAAAUGAGGAAGAACUAAUUGCGCAUUUGAGCUACUGUACCAGACUACCAGUAUCCUGUAUCCUCCUACCGACUGUGUGAUUGUAAGAAAUAUACAGGCCCAAGUGUGGAUUAAAUAAAUGUGCAUCAAUUAUGACCAGGCAUUAUCUUCUCAACAAACAAGUCAAAAAAUUAUCACCCUGCUUGAUCUGAGGUCCGAAAUCAGCAGGGGAGACCGUGAGAUACGAGUACAAGAAAGCAUCGGAUUUGUGCACAGAACUAAUUCGACGUGAAUCCAUCCCAAAUAGCCCACGAAGUUGGGAAGAGGUCCCGGCAGGCAUUCCAUCAAACAUCUCGGAGGCAUUUGUCGCUGGAAGCAAAUACUGCGAGAUCGUAUCCGUACCUAUGCAUUCCAGUCCACCUGGGCGAAUCCACAAGCAUAUAGAGACCGAUCGCUGCUUCCACUUGCCACCAGUCCGCCACUCCAUUCA
rnacentral:lncRNA from 1 species